CCUGGGUGAUUGGUAGUGUUAUCAUUGGGGACUUUCAAACCAUCGGCCUUGAGAAGGAGUCCUAGAUCUCUAAUGUCGAGGUAGGGUUCUAGAUCGCUAUCGGCCCCUCAAGGGUUCCUCUCAGAUCGUGGGGAUCUUGAAGCUUUCCUUUUCCCCUAGUCACAGGAUCGUCUGAGGUGCGAUGUUUUUUGAAGCUUUUGUUGGCUCCAGCAUAUUUCUUAGCCCGAUCCAAUAUUUUCAC
rnacentral:lncRNA from 1 species